rnacentral:tRNA from 1 species
GGUGGCUCAGGGUAGAGCACUUGCCUUGCAUGCAUGAGGCCCUGGGUUCAAUUGCUCAGCACCA